rnacentral:rRNA from 1 species
AUGGAUGAGCAUUUCAUCCUCCGCGUGCCCCCUUCUGUGGCGGAGCAGAUCGAGCGCCUUAUGAACGAAUCCGCUGCCGGUUCAUCCUCCAACCCCGAGGACGCCUCCCUCAACCUCUCCUUCUCAGAUGAUGGAAGAAGUGGCACAUUUAUGAUUGGUAACCAGAGCUUUCCUGCAUCUCUCUUGGAUCUCCCAACUGUUGUGGAGUCAUAUAAGACAUAUGAUGAUUCAUUUUUAGUUAAAGCUGCUGAUAUUGGUCAGAUGGUAAUGGUAAGAGAAGAUGUUGAUCCUGCUCCUGAAGAAGUUGAAUACAAGCAUGGACUUACUCCUCCAAUGAGGGAUGCACGCAGGCGACGUUAUCGCAGAGAGCCUGACUUGAAUGCAGAGCUUGUUCACCGAGUUGAGAAGGAUCUUAUAAGUAUUAUGCAUGGAGUGUCUGUCAGUAUCCUUUUGAAGGUGGUGAAGGUGGGGGUGGUGAAGGUGGUGACCGCAAGAAAGCUGCACCAGCUCCUGCACCCAAGCCAGACGCUCAAGAGCCUGCUGCAAAUGGCGAAGAAGCUGAGCCUGAGAGGAGUGACUCUGAUGAUUCGGAGAACUGAAGUGGACCAGAAUAGAUAG